rnacentral:lncRNA from 1 species
UCAAACAAAAGAAUAAAUGUUUUCAUUCCGACAACAUAAGUUCAAAAAUGAUAGCUGACUCGGUGUGGAUCAAGCUUACCCACACCGAUUUAAAAGUACGACCGCCAACAGAAGUGGCCAGAGUAUAUUACAGGUAAACACUCGGCAUACCAAGGAUAAAGUUCGAUCAUGCAUCAGCUGGGCCGGCGUCAGGACUGGAGGGCUCCACAAAAGUGUCCAAGUCGAUUCCAUCUGCG